rnacentral:rRNA from 1 species
CUAGCGACUUCAGAGUUUGAUCCUGGCUCAGGACGAACGCUGGCGGCGUGCCUAACACAUGCAAGUCGAGCGGGGACAUGAGACGGAGGAUGAAGAUUUCGGUUGGAGUCCAAAGACUUAUGUUCUAGCGGCGGACGGGUGAGUAACGCGUGAGCAACCUGUCCCUUACAGGGGGAUAACACAGCGAAAGUUGUACUAAUACCGCAUAAGACCACGACGGGGCAUCCCGGAGGGGUCAAAGGAGAAAUCCGGUAAGGGGUGGGCUCGCGUCCGAUUAGAUAGUUGGUGAGGUAACGGCCCACCAAGUCGACGAUCGGUAGCCGACCUGAGAGGGUGAUCGGCCACAUUGGGACUGAGACACGGCCCAA